GGAAUUUUUGUCAAUGGGGGCAACCCUGAACAAGCAACGCCGCGUGAAGGACGAAGACCUUCGGGUUGUAAACUUCUGUCGGAGGGGACGAAUGCGGUUGCGGCGAAUACCCGCGAUCGUUGACGGUACCCUACGAGGAAGCCCCGGCCAACUCCGUGCCAGCAGCCGCGGUAAUACGGGGGGGGCGGGCGUUGUUCGGAAUUACUGGGCGUAAAGGGCGCGCAGGCGGGCGGGCAAGUCUUUCGUGAAAGCCCACGGCUCAACCGUGGAAUUGCGGGAGAUACUGCUCGUCUUGAGUCCGGGAGAGGAGAGUGGAAUUCCCAGUGUAGCGGUGAAAUGCGUAGAUAUUGGGAGGAACACCGGUGGCGAAGGCGGCUCUCUGGACCGGUACUGACGCUGAGGCGCGAAAGCUAGGGGAGCAAAC
rnacentral:rRNA from 1 species